AUAAGCCUGGGAAACUGGGUCUAAUACCGGAUAUGACCAUGGAAUGCAUGUUUUGUGGUGGAAAGAUUUAUCGGUGCGAGAUGGGCCCGCGGCCUAUCAGCUUGUUGGUGAGGUAACGGCUCACCAAGGCGACGACGGGUAGCCGACCUGAGAGGGUGACCGGCCACACUGGGACUGAGACACGGCCCAGACUCCUACGGGAGGCAGCAGUGGGGAAUAUUGCACAAUGGGCGAAAGCCUGAUGCAGCGACGCCGCGUGGAGGAUGACGGCCUUCGGGUUGUAAACUCCUUUCGACAGGGACGAAGCGCAAGUGACGGUACCUGUAGAAGAAGCACCGGCCAACUACGUGCCAGCAGCCGCGGUAAUACGUAGGGUGCGAGCGUUGUCCGGAAUUACUGGGCGUAAAGAGCUUGUAGGCGGUUUGUCGCGUCUUCUGUGAAAACUUGGGGCUCAACCUUAAGCUUGCAGGCGAUACGGGCAGACUAGAGUACUUCAGGGGAGACUGGAAUUCCUGGUGUAGCGGUGAAAUGCGCAGAUAUCAGGAGGAACACCGGUGGCGAAGGCGGGUCUCUGGGAAGUAACUGACGCUGAGAAGCGAAAGCAUGGGUAGCAAACAGGAUUAGAUACCCUGGUAGUCCAUGCCGUAAACGGUGGGUACUAGGUGUGGGUUUCCUUCCACGGGAUCCGUGCCGUAGCUAACGCAUUAAGUACCCCGCCUGGGGAGUACGGCCGCAAGGCUAAAACUCAAAGAAAUUGACGGGGGCCCGCACAAGCGGCGGAGCAUGUGGAUUAAUUCGAUGCAACGCGAAGAACCUUACCUGGGUUUGACAUACACCGGAAACCUGCAGAGAUGUAGGCCCCCUUGUGGUCGGUGUACAGGUGGUGCAUGGCUGUCGUCAGCUCGUGUCGUGAGAUGUUGGGUUAAGUCCCGCAACGAGCGCAACCCUUAUCUUAUGUUGCCAGCGCGUAAUGGCGGGGACUCGUGAGAGACUGCCGGGGUCAACUCGGAGGAAGGUGGGGACGACGUCAAGUCAUCAUGCCCCUUAUGUCCAGGGCUUCACACAUGCUACAAUGGCCAGUACAGAGGGCUGCGAUACCGUGAGGUGGAGCGAAUCCCUUAAAGCUGGUCUCAGUUCGGAUCGGGGUCUGCAACUCGACCCCGUGAAGUUGGAGUCGCUAGUAAUCGCAGAUCAGCAACGCUGCGGUGAAUACGUUCCC
rnacentral:rRNA from 1 species